UACGAAGGGGACUAGCGUUGUUCGGAAUUAUUGGGCGUAAAGCGCGCGUAGGCGGCUACUUAAGUCGGAUGUGAAAGCCCCUGGCUCAACUGGGGAACUGCGUGUGAUACUGGAUGGCUUGGAUUUGGGAGAGGGAUGCGGAAUUCCAGGUGUAGCGGUGAAAUGCGUAGAUAUCUGGAGGAACACCGGUGGCGAAGGCGGCAUCCUGGACCAAUAUUGACGCUGAGGAGCGAAAGCCAGGGGAGCAAACGGG
rnacentral:rRNA from 1 species